CAGUCGCCACGGUAAUACGAAGGGGGCUAGCGUUGUUCGGAAUUACUGGGCGUAAAGCGCGUGUAGGCGGGUCCUUAAGUCAGGGGUGAAAUGCCAAGGCUCAACCUUGGAACUGCCUUUGAUACUGGGGAUCUUGAGUCCGGGAGAGGUGAGUGGAACUGCGAGUGUAGAGGUGAAAUUCGUAGAUAUUCGCAAGAACACCAGUGGCGAAGGCGGCUCACUGGCCCGGAACUGACGCUGAGACGCGAAAGCGUGGGGAGCAAACAGGAUUAGAUACCCGCGUAGUCCCUGUCUCUUAUAA
rnacentral:rRNA from 1 species